rnacentral:lncRNA from 1 species
UAUUGAUCCUGUGGGGUUGGGCAGGAAGGAACAUCCAGCAACCUGGGCAGCUACCUUCUCUCAGGAAGAUGCAGUCAACAGUCAGGGGAAAGUAAUGGAAUUUGCGCUUCAAGACCCCCAAGCCUCCUCCAGGAGAAUAAAGACACAAGGGCACAGAAUUUAGCGCGCCUCUCUCCUGGCUUUGUGGACAGAUGGCCAUUCAUGCACCAGCGCACAUGGAAGCAUAGACGUCAACGAUGACAGCACAUUUUGGCUGCAAACAAGUCAAUGCAAUCUUCCAGUUUCCUGACCAUCCAUCUUUUCA